AUGCUCCUCCCCGCGCGCCGCCGACCCACCAGCGGCAUUCUUUCUGGUGUGCUAGGGGAAACAAACAACAAGAUGGUGGUGCGGGUCUUCGGGUAUGGGUCCCUGAUCUGGAACCCCGGCUUCGAUUUCAACGAGAAGAUCCUGAGAUUCAUCAAGGGCUACAAGCGAACGUUUAAUCUCGCUUGCAUUGACCAUAGAGGCGCUCCACAGAAUCCAUCCAGGACCUGCACUCCUGAAUCCGAAGAUGAAGAAAUAUGCGUAUUCAACGUGAGGAAUUUCAUACUUUUGGUGUGGUGCUAG
rnacentral:rRNA from 1 species